UUCCUCAAUUCCACGAAAUUACUGCUCCCCCGCAAACUCUCUCCCCACCACCAUUGUUUCCUCGUUGCUCGUUCUCGCGCGCGUCGCCUCUGCUUCUGCUUGUGCUUCUGCUUGUGCUUCUGCUUCUGCUUGUGCUUCUGCUUCUUCGUGCGGCUUCUUGGGGAAGCCCUAAUGUGGCCGCCGUGGGGAAGAAGCCGCCGCGGCAAAGACGCUUCGCCGCGGCUCCCCCGCUGCCCCUCGUCGUCUCCUUCCUCGCCCUU
rnacentral:lncRNA from 1 species